UACGUAGGGCGCAAGCGUUAUCCGGAAUUAUUGGGCGUAAAGAGCUCGUAGGCGGUUUGUCGCGUCUGCCGUGAAAGUCCGGGGCUCAACUCCGGAUCUGCGGUGGGUACGGGCAGACUAGAGUGAUGUAGGGGAGACUGGAAUUCCUGGUGUAGCGGUGAAAUGCGCAGAUAUCAGGAGGAACACCGAUGGCGAAGGCAGGUCUCUGGGCCGAUACUGACGUGAGGAGCGAAAGCGUGGGGGAGCGAACAGG
rnacentral:rRNA from 1 species